rnacentral:rRNA from 1 species
AACGAACGCUGGCGGCAUGCCUAACACAUGCCAGUCGAACGAUUGCCUUCGGGUGAUAGUGGCGCACGGGUGCGUAACGCGUGGGAAUCUGCCCUUAGGUUCGGAAUAACAGCUGGAAACGGCUGCUAAUACCGGAUGAUAUCGCGAGAUCAAAGAUUUAUCGCCUGAGGAUGAGCCCGCGUUGGAUUAGGUAAUUGGUGGGGUAAAGGCCUACCAAGCCGACGAUCCAUAGCUGGUCUGAGAGGAUGAUCAGCCACACUGGGACUGAGACACGGCCCAGACUCCUACGCGAGGCAGCAGUGGGGAAUAUUGGACAAUGGGCGCAAGCCUGAUCCAGCAAUGCCGCGUGAGUGAUGAAGGCCCUAGGGUUGUAAAGCUCUUUUACCCGGGAAGAUAAUGACUGUACCGGGAGAAUAAGCCCCGGCUAACUCCGUG